CAGGGAGACAACAAAAUGUUUAAUAUUAUUAUUUUGUCACCUUAGGUCGAUCGGUAUCUCACGUUUUUAAUUUAUUAAGAAUUUCAUUUCCUAAGUUUUUCUAGGUCACACCCAUUAUUUUUCCUGGGCCAUUAGCUCAGGUGGUUAGAGCGCACCCCUGAUAAGGGUGAGGUCCCUGGUUCAAGUCCAGGAUGGCCCAUAUCUCUAUGUUGGGGGUAUAGCUCAGUUGGUAGAGCGCCUGCUUUGCAAGCAGGAUGUCAGCGGUUCGAGUCCGCUUACCUCCACUGAUUACCACCUCUUCCAUAACCGGAGAAAGGAAAUGUUUUGAGUUGUGAUCAAAUUCUGGAAGAAUCUAGCUUCCUAAUGAAAUCAUUAAGAUGCUGGACUCAUUGAAUUAAUUUCAUUGUUUUCAGAGAACCUUGACAACUGCAUAGAUUAUUUUUAAAGACAAUUAGCAUCUUUAAUGAUGCAGAUUUAUUAUUUGUGCGAAAGCAUUAAUAACAAUUCUAUUAAGCUGAUGCUUCAAUUUUGAAGUUAUU
rnacentral:tRNA from 1 species